rnacentral:rRNA from 16 species
GACUCUCGGCAACGGAUAUCUCGGCUCUCGCAUCGAUGAAGAACGUAGCAAAAUGCGAUACCUGGUGUGAAUUGCAGAAUCCCACGAACCAUCCAGUCUUUGAACGCAAGUUGCGCCCGAGGCCACUCGACCGAGGACACGCCUGCCUGGGCGUCA